UGGAAUUGGCUGCAUCGGUAGAAUUGACUGAACAAAACAAGCCAUUGAAAUAACCGUAAUCAGUUUGAAAGUUACAUUAUUUAGUUUGUGGGGGUUCUCGACUGUUAACAAAAAUGUUUUUGAUGUCGUUUCCGUCUCGGUACAUUGAAGAAUCAAACGAUGCUCGGCUAUUCAAGUGCUUCCUUGCCGUCAUACUUGCGAUAAUGCUAAGGGUAUUUUGGGAUGUCUGUACUGGUAUGGACAUGUGCUACAGAUGGAUGAGGAAAGCUGUGUGAAGAAGUGUCACUCCUAAACAGUAGAAGGAACCCAUGGUAGAAGGAGACCCAGGAACACAUGGGAUGAGGUGGUGAAGCAUGACCUUUGAAAGCUGGACCUCACAGAGGCAAUGACAAAAGACCUAGGCCUCUGGAGAUAUGCUGUGACUGAGAAGACCUGGCAAGUAUAGUGAGAUCACAGCCGUAGCCUACACCAGUGUCGCAUAACCAGCCCACUUAAAAAAGUACCUUUGGAUCAUUGGGCGACAUGACGUGCUCGAGGAGACCUAUUGAGUCAAGUAAAAUCAAAGUCAAAUAAAACCACACUCAAAUAGAAAUUGUAGUUGU